AUAUAAUUCUAAAAAUCGUUCUCCAUAUUAAAGAAUAACAGUUCACACCACAACUAUAACGAUAAAGACAUAAGGAACGAUAUCGUUGGGAUCACUUUCAGAAUUAUUUUUUUCCAGCUGCUGUCCAACGAUAAAACACCACACUGACAACCAAUCAGAAUCCAUUCUAAUUUAAAGGUCUCGCGCAUUUAAAAUGGCAGAUUCCAGAGACGUUAACGUUAAUGGUCGAGGUAUAAAAAAUCCUCCACUGUUUCACAACAAGUCAAACUCCCUUUUCAAGGAUACGUUAAAAAAGAUGGAUAUAUGGAAAACAAUCGGUGGUAUCCUGGGAAUAAAUGCCUUUCAGCCGUUUAGCCUUUAUGGUGAACAGUGAAGCAGCUUCCAUAUACUGUAUACUGCCUAUCCAUUGCCAAGACCCCCAUCAUGCCUCCCUCCCUGAAACUGGGUGCUUUGUUUACGGCUCCAGGCUAACUUUGGUGUUGGAUCUCAGAGUUGCAGUGGUCCCCAGAGGUUGUUUGUGGCCAGCCAGUGCCCUGCUGUCUUGCAGGACACAUGUUGGCAAGGCCCAUGGAAAUUUCAACUCUAGUUCUCCAAGUGAGCCAGCAGGGGGAAAAACACCUAUUUUUUUUACAUGAACCGUGAUCCAGAACCAGACCUGAUGCUUGGAUUCAGACCGGCGUUCACUUGCAUGUCACAUGGAUCAGCAGCACCCUCCAGGCAUCAGGUGCUCUAAUGAAUUAAUCUUCCAUCUCAUCUAUAAACCAGUAUACUUCAGUGCCCACAGCGCCCUUCUCUGUCUAAUCCUCAGGCAGGUGGUCACCAAACUCACAGCAGCAGCCAGUCAAUCAUCGAGAAAAACCAGCCAAAGAUAAGCUACAAAACGAGAAAACAGACACACACAUGCUUAUACACAAGCACACUGUAAAAAUGAUCAAUGUACAGUAGCAAGGUUUAA